CAGACACCUAUCAGCCUUUUGUAAGGAGGAGCAGCUCGAGUGCGGUGCGGUCCGAGCCCUUCAAAUUAGAAUAGUGAUGAUGAUCUUGUCAAUGCUGAGAUUUUCAUGCAUCAGCAGCCACUACAUCAGGAUCAGGCAGAUCAACAUGCAAUUUGAAGACGUGUGAUAAAAUACAGCGAGGUGAAGUAGUGUGUCUUUUCAGAUCCCCAAAUCAUUCCCCCUUAAAAGAUGAGCCUGAAGAGGAGAUUUGGGAAGAUGCUGUUUCAUAAGUCGCUUUGCCAGAUCACCUGUGGUCGGGAUGUCUGCUAACAAGAUGCCUUGCUGGUCUGGGCGAGUUUAAAGUCUUACACAGACAGUCCAGAAGUUCUGAAGUCCAUCUUCGAUUUCAUUGAUGUUGUCAUCGUAUUAAGUACAGCAUGAGCCAGAAUAGAUGGGUGGUGGUGGCCAUAAGAAGACUGUCAACUAAACCAACAACAAAAUUCAUAUUUGCAGUUUUUCUUGAAUAAAGUUUUUCUAUUCAGAUUAAUAAAAUGACUUUUAAACAUGAUUUUGUUUCAUAUUUUAUGAUUUUAUUCUAUAUUUAGAAAAUUCCACGUCUGCACUACUAACUGGAAACCUAACUGUUUGAAAGAAUGUGUUUUUAUCCAUAAAAAAUAUUUUUAACAGCUGCUUUCAUGUUUAUUUGGAAAGGGUAGGCACCUGCCAUCUUAUUUGUCCACAUUUAAACUUUACCUUCCUUAAGUGUUUAGUUUUAUGAAUGGGGUUGUACUGUAAGUUAUGCAUAGCAAGUUGCAUUCAUAUGAUAAUUGCACUAAAAAUGACACGUUUACAGUAAAUCAUUUAGUGAGUAUUGCAGUGUAAAGUAAAAAUCUAUAUUUAGUGUUAAAAACAACAAGGAAAUAGAAGGUUGAAAUUGCGUCAUGAUAUCAACCAUAAU